GUUCUUGUAGUUGAAGUACAACAGUGGUUUUUCAGCCCACAGGUUUUGGUUAAUACCCAGAUAAGAAUA
rnacentral:tRNA from 1 species